rnacentral:lncRNA from 1 species
CCUAUAUUAGAAGUUGUGUUGCCUAACCCUUUUUUCCAGAAGAUGUGGUGCCAACUAAGACUAUAUUGGUAGUUUUGUUGCCAACUGAGCUUGAUGAUAUUCCAGCUGAUGCAGUGAUGAAAACCAAGAGCUUGAGUGAACUGGGUAUAGUGGUAAAGAGAAGCACUGAUAAAAAGAAGAAGAAGAAGUUGAAGUGAAGUGAACUGGGUGUUGUACUAUGCUAUAGAAUAAAACUUUGCGUGAAAUUGUAUUUUUCAUAUGAAAUGUAUUUGUGUAAUACUAUUCAAGUUUGAGACAAAUUUCAAGUUUGAGACAAAAUUCAAAUUUGAGCCAAAAUUCAAAUUUCAAGUUAUUUGGUAUGUGGUAUGGUGUUGUAUUUUUCAUAUGAAAUGUAUUUGUGUAAUACUAUUCAAGUUUGAGACAAAUUUCAAAUUUGAGCCAAAAUUCAAAUUUGAAGUUAUUUGGUAUGUGGUAUGGUGUUACAAUGAUUUAUGUACAAUUACACAUGUUAGGUGAUUAAUCGGACAACUUUUCUUAUGUGAAACUUUGGACAUGAAAAAUGUGCUCCAAAUGAGCUCCAAAACCCCCUCCAAGCC